GACCUACGGGGGGCAGCAGUGGGGGAUAUUGCACAAUGGGGGAAACCCUGAUGCAGCGACGCCGCGUGUGGGAAGACGGUCCUCUGGAUUGUAAACCACUGUCCCCAGGGACGAAGAUGACGGUACCUGGGGAGGAAGCUCCGGCUAACUACGUGCCAGCAGCCGCGGUAAUACGUAGGGGGCAAGCGUUAUCCGGAUUUACUGGGUGUAAAGGGAGCGUAGACGGCAUAGCAAGUCUGAAGUGAAAGCCCGUGGCUCAACCGCGGAACUGCUUUGGACACUGUUAAGCUGGAGUACUGGAGAGG
rnacentral:rRNA from 1 species